ACUCAAAUAACUCAACUCCCAACCCGAUUCUCCCAUAUGAUCCGACCGAACUCCUGUGUGUUUCUUCUUCUUCUUCACUGUUAACGUGAAGAGCCCCAAAAAAAUAAAUGAAACCCAGUCCAACAACCCAGAAACUCGUCCAACCCAGCCACAAAUCGAUCCAAUACCACUUGAGUCGUCCUCUCCUCUCAACGUGUGAUCUCCGUACAAGGACCGUUCGAGAAUCGUCCACGUGUCCCCAUCUCUUUGCUCCCUCGUCCUUGCGCGUAAUCGGACGGUUGUAACACUUUUUUCGUUGAAGAAUGGGACAAGAAUCGUACCAUUCCAUUAAUAACCUUGUCUGCUAGAGGGGAAUUCAAAUUUCAAUUUUUGAAUUCACCCCAAGGUCCCUCCCGUUUCACCCCUCAAAUUUUAAGCUAGUUCUUCUCCUAUAAAUAGCCCCCUCUUCUUAUUUGUUAAAGCGAGAGGAUAGUGAGAUAGAGGUUAGAAAAAAUAGAGGAAGAAAUCUGGAAAAUUUAGAGCCAAGAAAAAUGUGGGAUUUCUUUGGAACAGUCACACUUAUACUAAAGAAAUUUUAUACAUUUUCUUUAGUCCUAAGUCGUGAGAAAACCUCUUCGAGUCUGGUUUGCAUUUCGUGGUCAGCCGCUUGAGAUUCGAACUCGUGUUGUGGAAGAAUCGUCUCCAAGCUCGUCUUUUGUGUCAGUUCGUCUGCCCUCGAAAAGGUUUCGGUAUUUGAAGGCUCAUUCGGGACGACUUGAAGAUGGCUUGGAUAUUCUCUAUCAUCAAAGUGGGUAGGUCCUCACUUUCCGAGGGCGAUGCCAAUAUCUUGCCUACGAAGUCUCUUUAUUUUUCUAAGACUUUUAUGUUCAUUCCACUUUCAUUGUGUACGACUUGUAUAAGCCUACAUGUGGCUUCUUUAUAUUUUAUGUAUGGCAAUGCCCUUAUUGUGAUAAACGUUUAGAUGGUAUGAGAUGAGACAAUCUCUGAGACUAUCUUUCUAUCUUA